GGGGAAUUUUGGACAAUGGACGCAAGUCUGAUCCAGCCAUGCCGCGUGCGGGAAGAAGGCCUUCGGGUUGUAAACCGCUUUUGUCAGGGAAGAAACGAGUUUCUCUAAUACAGAGACUUAAUGACGGUACCUGAAGAAUAAGCACCGGCUAACUACGUGCCAGCAGCCGCGGUAAUACGUAGGGUGCGAGCGUUAAUCGGAAUUUCUGGGCGUAAAGCGUGCGCAGGCGGUUAUAUAAGACAGAUGUGAAAUCCCCGGGCUCAACCUGGGAACUGCCUUUGUGACUGCAUAGCUAGAGUACGGUAGAGGGGGAUGGAAUUCCGCGUGUAGCAGUGAAAUGCGUAGAUAUGCGGAGGAACACCGAUGGCGAAGGCAAUCCCCUGGACCUGUACUGACGCUCAUGCACGAAAGCGUGGGGAGCAAACA
rnacentral:rRNA from 1 species